rnacentral:lncRNA from 1 species
UGUUUGUACCUGACACCAAACACAGCUUUGCAUCUCACAUCCCACACCUGAAUCUCCUGAUUUAAAAACUUCUCCCCUCCAUAAAGAAUAUUUAACAAAGUUCCACUGAAACACCCCAGCUUUUGGUACCAACCAGAAUUAAAAUGAGUUGGAGCCCCACAUGCUGAGGUGGUUUUCCAUCUGUCUGGCUCAAUAUUUCAGUUGACUCACCUUUAUGUGCCUCUGUGUUUCCAUACACACAGCACCUUGGAUUUCUCAGAUCCUGUUUCAAGCCCUUCCGAGGAAAUAAGGGCUUGUCUGCCCCGGGGAGCUGUUGUGAAAUACUCUGGAGUGUGAAUUUAAAAUGCAGCACUCUGCCUGCAUUAACUCCUUGUGGGAAUGCUCUGUUCUGCACACAAAAUGCUCGGCAGCUUCCUUUAAUCCGCUCUGCUAAGAUUGGAAUGACCAAAACCAGAAGUCAAUUGCAUGAGAGCAGAAUUCGCUGCAGGAAGGUUGCUGUGUUCAUGAAGCACAGAAAUUCUCUUGCCUCUGUGUGUUUGCGGCUCCCGUGCAGAUGUUUAUUCUCCUCCCGCACCUCUGUUUGUUCGCUUUCGGAGGCAGGGCCGGGUGAUGCCCAAGGUGCGUUCCUGCAGCGCAUUCCCAGCCUCUCUCCCACAGCCCAGCCCUCCCCUGACCUGACCACAACCUCCCUCGGGUCCCAGAGAUUCCCACAAGCGGCGAUGACUGGCUGGGAAAGAAUCCCGGAGCAUCCGAGCAGCAGGAAAGCUGAGCCCUGGCUGCGGGACACGCAGGAAAUGCAGGGAGCAGGGUGGGUCUGCCUUGCGAACGGGAAUGUUCCAGCCACGCAGCCAGACCUGGCAGCCUUCGGCUUCUAUAAACACUCAGGGAGCUCUGUGCAGACCUGCUCUGCCGGGGCACAUUCUGCUUUCCAGUUGCAUUCUUAAGGAAACAUGAUUUUCUUCACUGACUACAACUCCACACAUUGAUGCAAAGACACUCUGCAUUUCAUUAGAUUAGACUCAAGGUGCUUUUGGAAAUCCAAAUUGAGAUUUUUAUUAACUAAUGAAGCAGUUUAAAUAUGCUGUUUGUUUUUUGGUGUUUCUUGUUUUUUAUUUUUUUAUAUAUAUAUUACAGAAUCACAGAAUAAUGAGGUUGGAAGAGACCUCUAAGAUCAUCAACUCCAACCUAUGCCCUAAUAAUUAAAAAGCAUAACACAUUAAGAUAGAUUUGAUGUAUUAAAUAAAGCACAUGGCUAACUGAACUGUUUGUAUCUG